GCCCGGAUAGCUCAGUCGGUAGAGCGUUAGGCUUUUAACCUAACGGUUCAGGGUUCAAGUCCCUGUUCGGGCG
rnacentral:tRNA from 1 species